rnacentral:tRNA from 1 species
AGGGGUGUAGUUCGAAUUGGUAGAACGGCGGUCUCCAAAACCGACGGUUGGGGGUUCGAGUCCCUCCACCCCUGCCA